GAGUAAAGAUUUCGGUCGCUUUGGGAGGAGCUCGCUUACUAUCAGCUUGUUGGUAGGGUAAUGGCCUACCAAGGCUAUGACGGUUAGGGGGUGUGAGAGCAUGACCCCCAGCAUUGGCACUGAAACACUGGCCAAACACCUACGGGUGGCUGCAGUCGAGAAUCUUCCACAAUGGGGGAAACCCUGAUGGAGCGAUGCUGCGUGCGGGAUGAAGGCCUUCGAGUUGUAAACCGCUUUUGUAGGGGACGAAAUUUUUGACGGUACCCUUUCGAAUAAGAGGUUGCUAACUCUGUGCCAGCAGCAGCGGUAAUACAGAGACCUCAAGCGUUAUCCGGAUUUACUGGGCGUAAAGCGUCUGUAGGGGGUUUAUUAAGUUCCAAGUAAAAUUUCAAGGCUCAACUUUGAAUUCGCUUGGAAAACUAAUAAACUGGAGUCUAGCAGAGGUGCAUGGAACUUGUGGUGUAGGAGUGAAAUCCGUUGAUAUCACAAGGAACACCAAAGGCGAAGGCAUUGCACUGGGCUAGCACUGACCCUGAGAGACGAAAGCGUGGGGAGCAAAACGGAUUAGAUACCCGUGUAGUCCACGCCCUAAACGAUGAAUGCUAAAUGUUCGGGGAUUCGACCCCCUGGGUGUUACAGCUAACGCGUUAAGCAUUCCGCCUGGGAAGUACGGCCGCAAGGCUAAAACUCAAAGGAAUAGACGGGGAUCCGCACAAGCGGUGGAGCGUCUGGUUUAAUUCGACAGUAAGCGUGGUACCUCACCAGGGUUUGACAUCCCUUGACAGCCUUGGAAACAAGGUUUCCUUCGGGCAAGGUGACAGGUGCUGCAUGGUCGUCGUCAGUUCGUGCCGUGAGGUGUUCCGUCAAGUCGGGAAACGAACGAAACCCCUAUUGCAUGUUACAAUUUCUCAUGCAAGACUGCCCGGAUAUACUGGGAGGAAGGUGGGGAUGACGUCAGAUCUGCAUGGUCCUUAUACCCUGGGCGACACAGGCGCUACAAUGGCAGAGACAAAGGGUUGCAAAACCGCAAGGUGAAGCUAAUCCCAAAAACUUUGUCUAAGUUCGGAUUGAAGGCUGCAAUUCGCCUUCAUGAAGCUGGAAUCGCUAGUAAUCGUGAAUCAGCCACGUCACGGUGAUAUGUUCCCGGAUCUUGUACUCACCGCCCGUCACACCAAGAGAGUUGGUAGCUCCCGAAGCGUCCCGUUUUAGCGGGGCAUCACGGAGAGAUCAGCGAUAGGGGUGAAGUCGU
rnacentral:rRNA from 1 species